CAGAACCAAAGCCAGUUGGAUGGAUUGGUGGAAUUCCAAUAUAUCCAGGCAUGAUAAUCCCAGGUUCUAAUCCAGAUUAUUCAGCAAAACCCAUAUUUGAUCCAGCUCCAGAAUAUAAUGCAGUCAAUAAACCCAAUGCAGUUCCGGUAUAUAAUCCAGUUCCAGAAUAUAAUCCAGAAAAUAAUAAACCAGCACCAGACAGUCCAGAGUUGCUGCACAUUGGGUGAGAUAAAGUCGCUCUCUGUUCCAGCCCUUGGGCCGCAUGUACUGCUGGGUUUAUCCCCAAACA